rnacentral:lncRNA from 1 species
UGGCGCCCUAGCAACCGGGUUGCGAACCAUGUUCUAUCCCGACUAAGUGGCCGUCCUGGGAGUUAUAGUGCCACUAGCCGGCCUCGGCUGUUCCCUGUCCGAGGCUCUUGUCAUUUCCGCUUAUUUCCUCCACGGGUGCCGAUUUCAUGUGUGUGUUCCCGAGUGCCUGAGCCGGCUCCCGAAAUGAGUACUCGUGGUUUCCGCGUGGGAACCAACCUCGAGCGCCAGUGGCCCGCCCUCUCCGGGCUGAGGUGGCUGCUGAGGCUGGGGCUGCUCCUGAGGCUUCAGGGCCGCCCGCUGCACGGCUUUCUACCUUCCCAGGUUAGCCGCGGUCAACUUCUGCCAGGCGGAGCGAGAAAUCGCAUUUUGUCAGUUUUAACAAAACAGAAAUGUGUAAAAAUUUGUGUAAAAUCUUACGAUCGAGACCAAAUGGACAAGCUGGCUUUUUUUGAAGAAAGUAAUACGACUGAAUUACUAGCAUCAUUGGUAGGUUUGGCAUCUGAAAUAACA